CGGCAAAAGCUCAAAUUUGAAAUCUGGCUCUCCGUGGAGUCCGAGUUGUAAUUUGUAGAGGAUGCUUUUGGGUUGCGACUGGUCUAAGUUCCUUGGAACAGGACGUCACAGAGGGUGAGAAUCCCGUACGUGAUCGGUUAGCGCUCUUCGUAAAGCUCCUUCGAC
rnacentral:rRNA from 1 species